rnacentral:rRNA from 1 species
UUUUGGGAGCUCACUGGCUUCGGAUUCAUGGGAACUCCGAAGUUAAGCGAGUUUGGGCUAGAGCAAUUUCAGGAUGGGUGACCUAUUGAGAAGUUGCUCGAGAAUUCCCAGAAA